rnacentral:rRNA from 1 species
GGCGCGGCGAAAUCAGGUUGAAUACAUCAGUUUUGGAUCACUGAAGUUAGACAACGUUGCGCGUGGUUGGUAUCCGGAUGGGUGACCAUCUGGGGGAAAUGCGAGCUGCUGACU